rnacentral:rRNA from 1 species
UUUGGUUAAGUUAGAAAGGGCGCACGGUGGAUGCCUUGACACUAGGAGUCGAUGAAGGACGGGACUAACGCCGAUAUGCUUCGGGGAGCUGUAAGUAAGCUUUGAUCCGAAGAUUUCCGAAUGGGGAAACCCACCAUACGUAAUGGUAUGGUAUCCUUAUCUGAAUACAUAGGGUAAGGAAGACAGACCCAGGGAACUGAAACAUCUAAGUACCUGGAGGAAGAGAAAGCAAAUGCGAUUUCCUGAGUAGCGGCGAGCGAAACGGAACAUAGCCCAAACCAAGAGGCUUGCCUCUUGGGGUUGUAGGACAUUCUAUACGGAGUUACAAAGGAACGAGGUAGACGAAGCGACCUGGAAAGGUCCGUCGUAGAGGGUAACAACCCCGUAGUCGAAACUUCGUUCUCUCUUGAAUGUAUCCUGAGUACGGCGGAACACGUGAAAUUCCGUCGGAAUCUGGGAGGACCAUCUCCCAAGGCUAAAUACUCCCUAGUGAUCGAUAGUGAACCAGUACCGUGAGGGAAAGGUGAAAAGCACCCCGGAAGGGGAGUGAAAGAGAUCCUGAAACCGUGUGCCUACAAAUAGUCAGAGCCCGUUAACGGGUGAUGGCGUGCCUUUUGUAGAAUGAACCGGCGAGUUACGACCCCGUGCGAGGUUAAGCUGAAGAGGCGGAGCCGCAGCGAAAGCGAGUCUGAAUAGGGCGUUUAGUACGUGGUCGUAGACCCGAAACCAGGUGAUCUACCCAUGUCCAGGGUGAAGUUCAGGUAACACUGAAUGGAGGCCCGAACCCACGCACGUUGAAAAGUGCGGGGAUGAGGUGUGGGUAGCGGAGAAAUUCCAAUCGAACCUGGAGAUAGCUGGUUCUCCCCGAAAUAGCUUUAGGGCUAGCCUUAAGUGUAAGAGUCUUGGAGGUAGAGCACUGAUUGGACUAGGGGUCCUCAUCGGAUUACCGAAUUCAGUCAAACUCCGAAUGCCAAUGACUUAUCCUUAGGAGUCAGACUGCGAGUGAUAAGAUCCGUAGUCAAAAGGGAAACAGCCCAGACCGCCAGCUAAGGUCCCAAAGUGUGUAUUAAGUGGAAAAGGAUGUGGAGUUGCUUAGACAACUAGGAUGUUGGCUUAGAAGCAGCCACCAUUUAAAGAGUGCGUAAUAGCUCACUAGUCGAGUGACUCUGCGCCGAAAAUGUACCGGGGCUAAAUACACCACCGAAGCUGCGGAUUGAUACCGAAUGGUAUCAGUGGUAGGGGAGCGUUCUAAGGACAGUGAAGUCAGAUCGGAAGGACUGGUGGAGUGCUUAGAAGUGAGAAUGCCGGUAUGAGUAGCGAAAGACGGGUGAGAAUCCCGUCCACCGAAUGCCUAAGGUUUCCUGAGGAAGGCUCGUCCGCUCAGGGUUAGUCAGGACCUAAGCCGAGGCCGACAGGCGUAGGCGAUGGACAACAGGUUGAUAUUCCUGUACCACCUCUUUAUCGUUUGAGCAAUGGAGGGACGCAGAAGGAUAGAAGAAGCGUGCGAUUGGUUGUGCACGUCCAAGCAGUUAGGCUGAUAAGUAGGCAAAUCCGCUUAUCGUGAAGGCUGAGCUGUGAUGGGGAAGCUCCUUAUGGAGCGAAGUCUUUGAUUCCCCGCUGCCAAGAAAAGCUUCUAGCGAGAUAAAAGGUGCCUGUACCGCAAACCGACACAGGUAGGCGAGGAGAGAAUCCUAAGGUGUGCGAGAGAACUCUGGUUAAGGAACUCGGCAAAAUGACCCCGUAACUUCGGGAGAAGGGGUGCUUUCUUAACGGAAAGCCGCAGUGAAUAGGCCCAAGCGACUGUUUAGCAAAAACACAGCUCUCUGCGAAGCCGUAAGGCGAAGUAUAGGGGGUGACACCUGCCCGGUGCUGGAAGGUUAAGGAGAGGGGUUAGCGUAAGCGAAGCUCUGAACUGAAGCCCCAGUAAACGGCGGCCGUAACUAUAACGGUCCUAAGGUAGCGAAAUUCCUUGUCGGGUAAGUUCCGACCCGCACGAAAGGUGUAACGAUUUGGGCACUGUCUCAACCAGAGACUCGGUGAAAUUAUAGUACCUGUGAAGAUGCAGGUUACCCGCGACAGGACGGAAAGACCCCGUGGAGCUUUACUGUAGCCUGAUAUUGAAUUUUGGUACAGUUUGUACAGGAUAGGCGGGAGCCUUUGAAACCGGAGCGCUAGCUUCGGUGGAGGCGCUGGUGGGAUACCGCCCUGACUGUAUUGAAAUUCUAACCUACGGGUCUUAUCGACCCGGGAGACAGUGUCAGGUGGGCAGUUUGACUGGGGCGGUCGCCUCCUAAAGUGUAACGGAGGCGCCCAAAGGUUCCCUCAGAAUGGUUGGAAAUCAUUCGUAGAGUGCAAAGGCAUAAGGGAGCUUGACUGCGAGACCUACAAGUCGAGCAGGGACGAAAGUCGGGCUUAGUGAUCCGGUGGUUCCGCAUGGAAGGGCCAUCGCUCAACGGAUAAAAGCUACCCCGGGGAUAACAGGCUUAUCUCCCCCAAGAGUCCACAUCGACGGGGAGGUUUGGCACCUCGAUGUCGGCUCAUCGCAUCCUGGGGCUGUAGUCGGUCCCAAGGGUUGGGCUGUUCGCCCAUUAAAGCGGUACGCGAGCUGGGUUCAGAACGUCGUGAGACAGUUCGGUCCCUAUCCGUCGUGGGCGUAGGAAAUUUGAGAGGAGCUGUCCUUAGUACGAGAGGACCGGGAUGGACGCACCGCUGGUGUACCAGUUGUUCUGCCAAGGGCAUAGCUGGGUAGCUAUGUGCGGAAGGGAUAAGUGCUGAAAGCAUCUAAGCAUGAAGCCCCCCUCAAGAUGAGAUUUCCCAUAGCGUAAGCUAGUAAGAUCCCUGAAAGAUGAUCAGGUUGAUAGGUUCGAGGUGGAAGCAUGGUGACAUGUGGAGCUGACGAAUACUAAUAGAUCGAGGACUUAACCAUAUAA